ACAGUUUUUGUCUCAGUGUAAGUAAUUAGGUUGUUGUUGUUUUAUUGUCGGCUCACUUUUACUCACAACAUGCAAACCGGCAACACAGGAUUCCUUUCACUACGCUAAGCUAACUAGCAACGGUGCUGCCAGUGUUGCAUCGGACUAAAACAAUGCAUGCACUGUGACAAAAAAUG